rnacentral:ncRNA from 2 species
CUAACUUUGCAUCGCACCGGUUUGCAGUUAUCAUCCGGUAACUGCAAAAAAAGGGAAUCAGGUGAAAAACCUGAACAGUUUCCGCUGCUGUAAUCUCCGGGAACUGCACUGGCAACCCGCCACUGUUCCAAUUUGGGAAUGGGAAGGCGCCAGAUGCAGGGAGAAAGUCAGAAGACCUGCCUGUGCUGUUAAUAAAUC